rnacentral:rRNA from 1 species
CAGCAGCCGCGGUAAUACGUAGGGAGCAAGCGUUGUUCGGAUUUACUGGGCGUAAAGGGCGCGUAGGCGGCGCGGUAAGUCACUGUGAAAUCUCCGAGCUUAACUCGGAACGGCCAAGUGAUACUGCAGUGCUAGAGUGCAGAAGGGGCAAUCGGAAUUCUUGGUGUAGCGGUGAAAUGCGUAGAUAUCAAGAGGAACACCUGAGGUGAAGACGGGUUGCUGGGCUGACACUGACGCUGAGGCGCGAAAGCCAGGGGAGCAAACGGGAUUAGAUACCCCGGUAGUCCUGGCCCUAAACGAUGAAUACUUGGCGUCUGGAGUUUCAAGACUCCGGGUGCCGUCGCUAACGUUUUAAGUAUUCCGCCUGGGGAGUACGCUCGCAAGAGUGAAACUCAAAG